rnacentral:snoRNA from 2 species
AAACCAUGAUGGGGACAAAGUCUAAGCAUUUCUUUAAAAUCUCCCACGCAUCGUAAAGAGAUUCUUCGUCUUCUUGAGUGAAUUGAUAAAGCUUUGCCCUCAGUUG